AUUUUUCAGGUUUAAAAAUGAUUUUUUAUAAAAAAUUUUUUUCAAAAAAGCAAACCCAUUUAUCCUUCAAGGGACAUGUGAAGAAGUUGACCACCAUUUUUAGUGCAUUAGUUACACAAUUCAACAAGUAAAUUUAAAGUAACAAAAGGAAAAAUACUUCCCUUUUAAUGUUACUAUAAUAGUAACAUUUGUGUUGCCACAGAUAGAUCCCUCCCAGACAAGGAAAGAAAAUUACUAGCCUUUCAUUCUAAAACAAUAUAUAUCCAUUAAAUUCCUACUGGAAUGGUGUUUAAUGGACAGUUCAGCUACUGAAUAAGCUAAAGCAGCUGUACCUGCUGCUAUCAGUUUAUACACAGUCCAGUUUACAGCUCUUGUGCAGUGAUCGCCUAAGCCUUCAACUGAGCAUGUGUACAGUGCUGGCUUGGCAUUUAUCCAGAGCCAUAGAUGUGUGGAAAGAGUUGUCUGUCCAGGCGCUGUGUAUGUGCUUGUCAGUUGCAGAAUUAAAAUAACUCCUUUGACUUCAUUGAUCCAGGGACAAGCUUAUAGCUAUAGUUAUAAGCUUGUGUGUGCUAUUACAGUGUGGUGGGGUAACUCUGUGCACAAUAGCAUUUACUAUGAUGCCAGGUUCUUACGGUGCCUAGAAUUACCCUUUGAGCUAUCUGUUUAAAGUGCAUUAUUAAAAGCACAAUUCAUUUAAAGGUGAAUGUGAUGAGUUGACCCAAUAUAUCUCAGUUAUGCUAUUUUAUGUAGCAUUUUAAAGGAGCAGAAAAGUGUGUGUGUGUAUAUCUAUAUCAUUAACCUGUACAUCUACAUUUUGCAUUGUUGCCUGUGUGUGUAUAUGUAAAUAUGAUAUAUGAUGUGAAAUAUUUUUUUUUUUUUUUUUUAUAGCAACAGAGAGAAAGUGUUUUCUGGUGUGAUGAGCUUCUUUGCAUAACACAGCUUUUCAGACUCCACCCUUUAGCAAGUCAUUGCUAGUAUAGGACCUUGAUAACCGCAUUAAUAUCUGAUCUGUAACUUGAUCUCCCACAUACCAUUAAGGACCAUAUACAGGGUUAAUGCCAAAGUGAUUAACAGUCAAAAUAGAUAUUACGAUGACUUCAUUCUAAUGGUAUUGUAAUGCCUCGUUUCCACUGAGCGGUACGGUUUGGGUCAGUACGGUUCGGAAGGGUUAGAAUGAUCCAGCCUAUUCUGGUGAGCGUUACCACUGCAAGUUGGACCGCCAGGGGGAUGCGGGGUUUAGACCAAAUGCCUAGCGUGUCAUUUGUCAUGAGCAUUGAUGUUUUCCUGUCCGCCAAUCAAUGGAUUGUACAGUACCGUACUAUUUCCUAUAGACCUACAUCUAAAGGGGGCCCAGGAAUGGUGCGGUUUUGUUCGGUUGUAUGGGCCAUUUUUAUAAUGGAAACACUCAAAAUAGUGAACCAGACCGUACCGAACCGUACCAUUCCAUAGAAACAGGGCAUAACAUACCAAGAUGAGUCACUGUAUCUGGAUGUCUGCAUUUACAAAAAUCAAAAACCGACAACAAGCUCGCUAUAAAGUGAUCUUUAAAAUUAAACGCCUUUUAUUUCAGUGAUUUAAACCUGUCAUCAUCAAAACACCUGGUUGACAAGGUUUUCUUCAGGUCUUCAUACAUUUACUUUGUUUUGGCAAAUUAUUCAGGAAAUAUAAAUGAACUUACCUGAAGAUUGUGUCUGCCAAAAUGGCCUGCACAACUGUGUGGGCACCUACCCUCUGUAAAUGGCACACAGUUUAUUGGUCAAAUAGGAGCACUAUAGAAAGGUAUACUGUGUUAGUCAUGUCUUUAAAUUGUUUUAUAAAAGGCAAAUGUAUUUCUGAUUGUGAAUGAAGCGGAUUUCCUUUCCUCCUUGUCAUUUAUGACCUAUGUCAAUCUUGUAAGCAAUUUGCUUCCUGUUUAGUUAAACUUAAACUGAUUUACUUUUUAAUUUAAGGCCAGAGUAGCCAAACUGAAAGCAUAGCCGACUUAGAGGAUUUUUCCAGUUCAGCCAUUUUGGUCUCAGAUUUAAAAUUCACUUUGAAUUCUCACUUUAGUGGAUAACCCUGUACAGUUUCUGUUUGCGUCCAAUUCAGUAUUUUCCUUUAUAUUGCUUUUUAAAAAAAAAAAAAAAAAAACAGAGAGGACAGAAAAAUCAGGUCAUUGAAAUACUUCUCUGCUCCUAAGACAAAACUGGGGAACACCCAGGUUUUGGUGUUCUGCAGUCAUGAAGUUGACCGGUGCUAGCUGCUCAACUAUUGUAUCAAAGUGCCUUAAGGAACACUCACAGAGAAAAUAGUCAAACUGUUUGACAACUUACCUGAGUCCUGCUGGCCACCCACUGCCACCUCCUCUGCUUCCAGAAGCUUCUGUCAGGGCGCCGCACUCUCAGCCAGUGAACACAGUCCUGUACAGCCGAGCUUAUCUUAAGGCAGCAGUGUUUGCACAGGUAACUUUUAAAACUUUUUUUAAAGGGUUACUCCAGUCUCCAUAAUCACUUCUGCUUUUAAGAGUGGUCAUGGAGGAAGCAAUCUUAAUACUUAAAACGCUGCACAUACAGAGAUAUUUGAAAUUUUGUGCAGGAGGCUAGUUACAUCCCUGCCACGCAUUCCAUUUUGCCCAAUGUUAAAUCUGUGCAAAUAUGUUCGUCGUCAGAGACAUCAUGAGCUUCUACCAUUGCAGGCAUCUCUGAAGUUCACCUACAAGGGGAAAAGUGUAUCUCAGAUCCCCCUCUCAUUUAAGUCCUCCCUAUAGACCUAAUUUUUUUUUUUUUUUUAUUCCUCUUGGCUCAGAGCAUGCACAUGCACUAUUAGCCAGUGAGAACAGUCUAAUGAAAUGCUUCUCUGUUAAAUGCAUUUGAAAGGACCAUGUUGAGGAAAGAAGUGACAAGAUACGGGGCUUAAAUUCCUGCAAGUGGAGCUUUGCACGGCACUGGAUUACAUGGAAAAUGUUAAUAUUAUUUCACAGGGAUUAUUACUAAUGCCUAAUAGUGCAAAUUAAAUCUAAAUUAAAAAGCAAUAUUUAAAAAGAGUUGGAGUAACACUUUAAACAGUUUGACUACUUACUCUGGGAGGCUAUAGUAGUUAUGGUGCUUGGAGUUUUUCCCCUGAGCCGCACAGUUUACAGACCCACACAGUUUAGGGUAAAUACUUCUAUAUUCUGUUAUCAACUGUGUUUUUUUUUUAACAUUAUCUUUAUGUAAAUUCAAAUAAAAAAGAUAAUGCAAGAAAUGUGCAGACAGAGUGGACUGAAGUGGCCAUUCCUAAAUAACCUUAAAAUGGACAUUCCUUGUUUGACCAUCUUGAACGUUUUAGAGGUUAGCUAUAGAUCAUCGCAUUAUCCUAUAUCUGAGCUGUAGGAGAUUGCAUUGGACUUUGAAGUAGUUUUACAUGCUUUGUGCGAAUGUGGCAAGAAUAAUAAUAAUUUUGCCAAAGAAAUAAAAAGUUGUUUAUGCAAAAAGAGAAUAAUGGAAUCUAAAUUCCAUGUAUCAAAGUGUGCAGUCAGCAUUUGUGCACUUUAUAAUGAUGAAUGCUUUUUGCUCCUAAACUAAAUUGACAUGUAUGUGACCCUUUAACCUGUGUGAAUAUCACUACAUGAAUUUGAGGGAUUUUUGCAUAUUUUCACCAAGGUAGAGCCCACCUGUUAUACAGUGAGGGCUAUAUCUAACUGUAUCAAUGUGAGAACUGUAGUUCAGUUCUUAUUUGCUAGCUGUAUAAGACAAAUAAUGCCUAAAAUCAAAUUGUUUACACAUCAUCUGCAGCAAACAUGCAUCUUAAUUAAAACAUAUUUUUGUUAACGAUUGGUGCAAAUUAUUUUGCCAUCUGUCAAUUACUUUACUGCACUAUAAUUCCGCCAUACUGUAUUUUACAAUAUCAGUACCAUGUGGAAACAAGUUCAGGGUUUUUUGUUCUCGUCAUAUCUGUAGACAUACAAGGCAGGUUCAAAGCCAAAAAUUGCCCACGUGUGUAUCAUGUUUUGUGCAUAUUAUAUAUUUGCUCCUCAAUGGCAAUCAGUAUUCUUUAUUUCCCAUAGAACAGGAUAGAAUGCCGAUGUGGUAGACAAUUUGGUUGAGUAAUCUAGAAUGACAGAUCAUUUUGAAAUGUAAAUAUUGUUGUUUGAACGUUUUUAUGCUAUAUAUCUUUUCCCCUUUGCUAGUAUUGUUUCAUCAGCUUCGUUUUUAUUUUAUUUUUAUUUUUUACUUUUUUUUCAAUGUUUAGGUUCCUCUGGCAUCCUUGCUGAUGUAGCAAAGUGAAUUUCAGGUUCUGAGUUGCUGCUUUAUCAUUGCUUAAUACUUUUAAAAUGCCUGGACAGCAGUCCUAUUCCAGGGCUCAUUCUAUCCUACUGUGAAUUCAACCAAACUGGCAUUUUUCUAGUUGUGAAAAUAUCAUUUGCUAUAGAAUAAUUUUUUUAUUUUUUUUAUUUUUUUUUUAAACAUACAAUUUUUCUUUCCUCUAUUGGCCAAGGAUUCCUCUAUUGGCCAAGGAGGAUUAUUUUAGUAAAUGCCAAAGCAUAGUAAGUUGGUUUUAUAUUUUUUUGUGCAAAGUUCUCUUUGAAAUAUAUUUUUUCUUUACUAAAAAUUAAAAUGCAAACUAAAAUUCAAAAGCAAACUCCCUUCCAGUUUGUUACUAUAAAGCUAUAUAUACUGUGCCUUCACAAAAACCUUAAAGGGACACUAUAGGUUUAAAAACAACUUUAGCUUAUUGAAGCAAUUUUAGUGUAUAGAUCGUGAUCCUUCAGUCUCACUGUUCAGUUCUCUUUUAGGAGUCUAUUUAGGAGUUAAAUCACUUUUGUUUCUGUCCAUGCUGCCCUAGCCACUCCUCCUCAGCUGUAACUCACUUGAGCAGUAACACUUCAGGGGCAUGAGCUAUACACCAAAACCGUUUCUCUAAGCUAAAGCUGUUUUCAUGCUUCACAUGGCCCUUUAAUAUUUCUUGUAAUAUAAUUCUGAUUAAGUGCACUCUAGUUAAAGCAUUGUUUAUAUAGUGUUUUUGUUUUUUCUUACAUAAUUUCUAAUUUUCUGAAAAUGAGGCACAGAAAAUGGAUUUACACGCUUUGCCAUAUUUAAUUAUUUUGCAAUAUGGGAAUCAAAUAAGCUUUAAUGUACAUCCCCAGGACUUCCAUUUAGGCCAUAGAGAGCUGGAGGGGAUGAGAGUUAAUAACACUCACGGGUAUAUUUGGUAGUACAAUGCACACUGUGAGAGGGCCAGGGAGUUAUUACUGUAUACGUACUAAUGGAUGCCUAAGUGCCUGUUGUAUAUGCUCCCUUUAACUAUACAUAUAGUGACCAGUGGGGGCACAAACCCUCUUGCUAUUGAAUACAUUUAUGUCCCCCUUAUGCCUUAUCCACAUGGGAACAAUGGCUCUGGUGAAGCUAGAUGGAUACACAAAAUAUUUUACUUCAUUAAAGGGACACUAUAGGCACCAAGACCACUUCAUUUAAUUGAAGUGGUUUGGGUGCACUGUUCCUGCCCCCUUAACCUGUUUACAUUGCAUUACUAAGACUGCCUCUUGUGGCUUUCUCGUAGAGACGCUUUCUGCCAUUUCACAAGUUUAACUCGUGAAACAAUGCUGGACAUCCUCACGCUUUGCAUGUGAACAUUCAGCGUCUUAAAAUUUCCCAUAGUAAAAACCGUUGAUUCAAUGCCUUCCUGUGCGUGCGACGAUCCCCCUAGGCGUCAACGUUGGCAGAGACGGGCCAGCACCUAGAGAUUUUUAAUCCUUUAAUUGAUAGCGUGGACAAGGGAGAAAGGGGCAGAGGGACACUAUAGUGUAGGAAUACAGUUUUGUAUUCCUAACAAUAUAGUGUUCCUUUUUACAUAGUUUAGAGCAAGACAUUGUUGCUGAUAAGGCUUAAGGACCAGUGGUGGUGGUCAUAACAAACCAGCCUUCUAAUGUCCUUUUAUCAAAAUGGAAUGUACCACUAUUUUAGCUACACCAGGGCGGAUAGCUAAAUGUCAGUUAAACAUUCAUGUUAACUUUUUGUUGCAAGUCAGGGCAAUUGCAUGAGGCUGUAUAUUUACUUCCAUUUCAAAACUGUAGAGGGACUGGAAAGAAAAUAGAACACCACAAGGUUGGCCAAUGAUGUGACGUAUAAACCCCUUUAUUGACCGGUAAUUGUUUAAAUUUGUAUAUCCAUUUUUUAAUACAUACUAUAGUAUAGUUAAACAAAUAUUUGAGAUGUAAUUGUCUGCCAGAUAUUUUUGCAAAGAGUUUUGAAUGUUGAUCAAGCUAUUACUCUAGAACAGUGGUCUCAUAGCACCGAUCAGUGAUUGUGUAGUUGUUUGUGUCUGUGUGUGUAUGUUGGAAUAAGUUUUAUGUACAUGCACAUGUCUAGAGACCUGUGGCUCCUAUGAGAGAUGGACUUGGUUAGUGGCCACCAAGUAAAAUGAAAUUCAAACACCUGUUCUAGAGACAGAUGUUUUGAAUCAUACUAAUAAUCUUCAAGAUAAGACUAUUGGCACUAAUGCUUGUGAUCAAUAAGUAUUAUAAAUGUGUAUUUCUUUUUGUACAAUUAGUUUGUUACAAAUGUUGUCCUUUCCACACAAGGUGGAGGGUUAUGUUUUUGUUUGUGUAUGACAUAAUGAGAAUUUUGUUCCGAUUUUCUGUUGCUUCUACAUACUGUUUUGUGUUCUGUUUGCACAGUAUGUUCAGUAAGAAAGUUUUUGAUAAUAAUGCAUCAAUGUGUUCUAAUAUGAUGCUUCUGUUUAUUAUGAAUCCUGUGGGUUCUUCCUUCAUGACUAAAAAAUAAUAAAAUUUUAAAAAAUGCCUCUGUGAAUAUCAUUGGACAAUACAACCUGACUGUAGUCGCAUGGAAUGUGGAGUGGGGAUAGACUUCCAAAAUACUGUAGUAAAGCUUGGUUCAUA
rnacentral:lncRNA from 1 species